AGAGUUUGAUCCUGGCUCAGGAUGAACGCUAGCGGCAGGCCUAACACAUGCAAGUCGAGGGGCAUCGGGAUUGAAGCUUGCUUCAAUUGCCGGCGACCGGCGCACGGGUGCGUAACGCGUAUGUAACCUACCUAUAACAGGGGCAUAACACUGAGAAAUUGGUACUAAUUCCCCAUAAUAUUCGGAGAGGCAUCUCUCCGGGUUGAAAACUCCGGUGGUUAUAGAUGGACAUGCGUUGUAUUAGCUAGUUGGUGAGGUAACGGCUCACCAAGGCAACGAUACAUAGGGGGACUGAGAGGUUAACCCCCCACACUGGUACUGAGACACGGACCAGACUCCUACGGGAGGCAGCAGUGAGGAAUAUUGGUCAAUGGACGCAAGUCUGAACCAGCCAUGCCGCGUGCAGGAAGACGGCUCUAUGAGUUGUAAACUGCUUUUGUACGAGGGUAAACUCACCUACGUGUAGGUGACUGAAAGUAUCGUACGAAUAAGGAUCGGCUAACUCCGUGCCAGCAGCCGCGGUAAUACGGAGGAUCCAAGCGUUAUCCGGAUUUAUUGGGUUUAAAGGGUGCGUAGGCGGUUUGAUAAGUUAGAGGUGAAAUCCCGGGGCUUAACUCCGGAACUGCCUCUAAUACUGUUAGACUAGAGAGUAGUUGCGGUAGGCGGAAUGUAUGGUGUAGCGGUGAAAUGCUUAGAGAUCAUACAGAACACCGAUUGCGAAGGCAGCUUACCAAACUAUAUCUGACGUUGAGGCACGAAAGCGUGGGGAGCAAACAGGAUUAGAUACCCUGGUAGUCCACGCAGUAAACGAUGAUAACUCGUUGUCGGCGAUACACAGUCGGUGACUAAGCGAAAGCGAUAAGUUAUCCACCUGGGGAGUACGUUCGCAAGAAUGAAACUCAAAGGAAUUGACGGGGGCCCGCACAAGCGGAGGAACAUGUG
rnacentral:rRNA from 1 species